rnacentral:RNase_P_RNA from 1 species
UUAGAAUGCACGAUGAUCGCCUCGUUUAGUGCGAGGAGGAAAGUCCGGACACGCCCGUAGCUUGCUACGGAGGAUGGUAGCGGGUAACGCCCGUCAUACAGCAAUGUAAGAGGUGCGAGCAGAGACGCCUGGAACGAAAGUGAAGGGAUUCCUCAUAGGAAUAGUCACAUUGGUAACAAUGUGGGUGAAACGGCUAAAUCCUUACCUGCGUGCAAGGCCGUGUCGCGCCGGUCUCUGUAUUCCUUGGAAUACAGAGACCGGCGCGAAGUGCCGCAUGAGCUUUUCAGCAAUGAAGAGUCUAGGUAAAUGAUCAUCCGAGUUUACUCGACAGAAUCCGGCUUAGGUGUACAAAAGGA